rnacentral:rRNA from 1 species
GACGAACGCUGGCGGCGUGCUUAACACAUGCAAGUCGAACGGAAAGGCCCUGCUUUUGUGGGGUGCUCGAGUGGCGAACGGGUGAGUAACACGUGAGUAACCUGCCCUUGACUUUGGGAUAACUUCAGGAAACUGGGGCUAAUACCGGAUAGGAGCUCCUGCUGCAUGGUGGGGGUUGGAAAGUUUCGGCGGUUGGGGAUGGACUCGCGGCUUAUCAGCUUGUUGGUGGGGUAGUGGCUUACCAAGGCUUUGACGGGUAGCCGGCCUGAGAGGGUGACCGGCCACCUUGGGACUGAGAUUCGGCCCAGACUCCUACGGGCGGCAGCAGUGGGGAAUAUUGCACAAUGGGCGGAAGCCUGAUGCAGCAACGCCGCGUGCGGGAUGACGGCCUUCGGGUUGUAAACCGCUUUCGCCUGUGACGAAGCGUGAGUGACGGUAAUGGGUAAAGAAGCACCGGCUAACUACGUG